UGCCUUCUGCAGGCAUCUCAGCCACUGUGUCCUCUGCAGCACAGCCAGCCAGCUUCUCAGUGGACAUCCAGUUGCCAGCAGCGAGUUAUUUGCGGGAAAACAGCAGUCACAGUUAAGUAUUGCCACCCCCCAACUGGUGAGCAGAGAGGGUCACAGGGCAAAAACCGCUCCACCUCCACUUCCCUAAACCUCUAUUCAAGACUCAAGACCUCUCGCUGAAGGCAAAACUAGAACCCAGGCUUCAUGCCCUGACCAUCCAGAUGCCACCCUCACCCUCCUGGAGACCCCCGCCACUCUGCUGCCGCCGGGGAGGUGGAGGUUUGGCCUUAGAGGCAAGAAGAUCAAUUAACAGCCUUUGGCAACUAUGAAAGAUAACAGAGGCAUGAAGGCAAGGAAAGUAAGAGUGACCUGCCUACCUAGGACUCUCUCCCCCCAUCGCCAAGACACCUUUUCCUGGUGACUGUGCAGAUCCACUCCUCAGGAUCCUGCCAAGAGAAUGGAAGGUCGCCUGCCCAGAAACUUGUCCAUGAGAUCUCACGGCGGCAUUGUGUAUGGCAGCCCGGGAGGGGAAGCAGCCCAAAGUCCAUCAACCGACCAGUGGUAAAGAAAAUGUGGCCUGUCCAAUACUAAAACACUGUUCAAGCCAUUAAAAGGAAUGAAGUACUGAA